rnacentral:rRNA from 1 species
GCGGGCGGCUGCUUACCAUGCAGUCGAACGGCAGCACGGGUGCUUGCACCUGGUGGCGAGUGGCGAACGGGUGAGUAAUACAUCGGAACAUGUCCUGUAGUGGGGGAUAGCCCGGCGAAAGCCGGAUUAAUACCGCAUACGAUCUCUGGAUGAAAGCGGGGGACCUUCGGGCCUCGCGCUAUAGGGUUGGCCGAUGGCUGAUUAGCUAGUUGGUGGGGUAAAGGCCUACCAAGGCGACGAUCAGUAGCUGGUCUGAGAGGACGACCAGCCACACUGGGACUGAGACACGGCCCAGACUCCUACGGGAGGCAGCAGUGGGGAAUUUUGGACAAUGGGCGAAAGCCUGAUCCAGCAAUGCCGCGUGUGUGAAGAAGGCCUUCGGGUUGUAAAGCACUUUUGUCCGGAAAGAAAUCCUUGGCUCUAAUACAGUCGGGGGAUGACGGUACCGGAAGAAUAAGCACCGGCUAACUACGUGCCACC